rnacentral:lncRNA from 1 species
CUCAGUGGUGGCACCUCCGCCUGGCAAGUGCAAGGUCCUGAGUUCAAUUCCUGGUUUUUUCAAAAAAAGAAAGAAACAGAGGGUGCAGCCCAGGGUCCUCUGAGGUGCAGGCAUCCCUCUGCUGCUCAUAGUGAGAAGAAGCCUGUACUCCAAGGGCUGGAAACUCUUCAAACUCCGUUUACUUGCUUCUGUAGGAACAACGUACUGCUAUCUUGUGAAGAAGUGUUGCCAGGGCGACAGGCCUGGAAAUGGGCAAGUGACAGGAAAGGACAUGUGAUUUCUUCUGUGUGUGCACCUGCUGAUGUGAGAGCUGAGUACUAUGCUGUCCUCUCCAGCCACCAGAAUCAUGAUCCAAGUAAACUUCCUUACUUUGUAAGUUACCCAGCUCUAGGGAUUUUGUUACAGAACACAAAAUGGGCUAAGACACUUUCUAAGGCUAUGUCUUACACAUUAGAUUCCAUCACAUUUUUCUUAAACAUUUUGCUUGAAUUCUAAGUAUGCUGUCUAUAAAUUCUCACCUUCCUUUUGCUGAGCAAAUCAAAGGAUAAUUUGAUUUUGUCAUUGGGUGUCAUUUCAACUAUCCUUUGAGGUAAGUGGACACAACCUUCCCUUUUGCUUCAUUUGUCUCUCUGGGGUCAAUCUCUUUCCAGUUGGUCUCAGCUGAAGACUUCUUCUUUUGGGCCGGGGAUUUAGCUCAGUAAUUCCUCUGCCUUCCUCACAAGCACAAGGUCCCAAGUUCGAUCCCCAGUACUAAAAGAAAAAAAAAAAAAAAAAGACUUCCUUUUUUUGUGCUCUCCUCCAAAUAAGCUCUUGCCCCUACCCUGGCUUCAUGCUCAACAUAUUAUAUAGGGAGACAGGAGAGAAACAUUUUGAUUUUAA